GUUAGGAAUCUUCCACAAUGGGGGCAACCCUGAUGGAGCAACACCGCGUGCUGGAUGAAGGCCUUCGGGUCGUAAACAGCUUUUGUAUACGAAGAAUAUGACGGUAAUAUACGAAUAAGGGUCGGCUAACUACGUGCCAGCAGCCGCGGUCAUACGUAGGACCCAAGCGUUAUCCGGAGUGACUGGGCGUAAAGAGUUGCGUAGGCGGCUUAUUAAGCGAGUAGUGAAAUCUGGUGGCUCAACCAUCAACACAUUGCUCGAACUGAUAGGCUUGAGAAUGGUAGAGGUAGUUGGAAUUUCUUGUGUAGGAGUGAAAUCCGUAGAUAUAAGAAGGAACACCAAUGGCGUAGGCAGGUUACUGGACCAUUUCUGACGCUGAGGCACGAAAGCGUGGGGAGCGAACCGGAUUAGAUACCCGAGUAGUCC
rnacentral:rRNA from 1 species